rnacentral:lncRNA from 1 species
GUAGGGCAUGAGGACAAACUCAGUCCAUCACUAUGAUAUUCUUACAUACUUGGAAGAACAAAGUUCUUGGCGAAAAAAUUGGAAGAAUGCUUGAAAAUCCUAGCCUUCUCCUCUUGGAUCCUUUCUCUAAGACUUGGAAGUGUUAAUCAGCGUAAAAGAAUUGACCAACACUGUUUAAACCCUUUACUAGGUGUAAGAACAUCAUAAUUUAGG